rnacentral:lncRNA from 1 species
UAUGUUGGUCUCCACACAACUGAAAACUUAUUAAUUACUUGUGCUAUUUGGUUCUAAAAGUUUAUAACUCUACAUGUUUUGAUAAUUGAUUGUUGAUGUUUUCUGCAAAUUUGGGUUGAAAGUUUUUGGUGUGAUCCUUUUUAGUGAUUGCUUUUGGAAUCUAUGGAUGGAUAGUUGUGAGAAAAAAGUUUUAAUUUGAUAAUUGUGG